AUUGAACGCUGGCGGCAGGCCUAACACAUGCAAGUCGAGCGGACGAAGGGAGCUUGCUCCUGGAUUCAGCGGCGGACGGGUGAGUAAUGCCUAGGAAUCUGCCUGGUAGUGGGGGAUAACGUCCGGAAACGGGCGCUAAUACCGCAUACGUCCUGAGGGAGAAAGUGGGGGAUCUUCGGACCUCACGCUAUCAGAUGAGCCUAGGUCGGAUUAGCUAGUUGGUGGGGUAAAGGCCUACCAGGGCGACGAUCCGUAACUGGUCUGAGAGGAUGAUCAGUCACACUGGAACUGAGACACGGUCCAGACUCCUACGGGAGGCAGCAGUGGGGAAUAUUGGACAAUGGGCGAAAGCCUGAGCCAGCCAUGCCGCGUGUGUGAAGAAGGUCUUCGGAUUGUAAAGCACUUUAAGUUGGGAGGAAGGGCAGUAAGUUAAUACCUUGCUGUUUUGACGUUACCAACAGAAUAAGCACCGGCGAACUUCGU
rnacentral:rRNA from 1 species